UUAUUUAAGUACUGUGAUAAUUUUGACUACCGACUGCACGCAAACAAAAGAAAUGUCGUUUAAUUACACUUUAAACCUGGGGCCUGCAGAAUCUGAGUCAUCCACCCAAACAGAGGAUAUGUCAUCUGCAAAAGCCUCUACUGAGCAGCCAGUAGCAGAGGAAGGUGCUGCCCAAUCUACAAAAGAUCUGAAGGAAUAAAGAAAGACUGACUCAGUUCUGGUGUAGACAUUGUAUUGAAGGACACCAGCUUCCAGGAAAUCCAUCCCAUUAUUGUUCCAUACAUUGUUUAAUGUAUUAUAAAUAUUUCUAUUUUUGUGUGUUCGUCCAAAUUGUUUAUUCGAGUUAUAAAUAAAUACUGAUUUAUUAGCU
rnacentral:lncRNA from 1 species